rnacentral:rRNA from 1 species
AUACGUAGGGUGCGAGCGUUGUCCGGAAUUACUGGGCGUAAAGAGCUCGUAGGUGGUUUGUCGCGUCGUCUGUGAAAUUCCGGGGCUUAACUCCGGGCGUGCAGGCGAUACGGGCAUAACUUGAGUACUGUAGGGGAGACUGGAAUUCCUGGUGUAGCGGUGAAAUGCGCAGAUAUCAGGAGGAACACCGGUGGCGAAGGCGGGUCUCUGGGCAGAAACUGACGCUGAGGAGCGAAAGCAUGGGUAUGGAACAGGAUUAUAUACCCUGGUAGUCCAUGCCGUAAACGGUGGGCGCUAGGUGUAGGGGUCUUCCACGACUUCUGUGCCGUAGCUAACACAUUAAGCGCCCCGCCUGGGGAGUACGGCCGCAAGGCUAAAACUCAAAGGAAUUGACGGGG